CAGUGGGGAAUAUUGGACAAUGGGCGGAAGCCUGAUCCAGCAACGCCGCGUGAGGGAUGACGGCCUUCGGGUUGUAAACCUCUUUCAGCACAGACGAAGCGCAAGUGACGGUAUGUGCAGAAGAAGGACCGGCCAACUACGUGCCAGCAGCCGCGGUAAUACGUAGGGUCCGAGCGUUGUCCGGAAUUAUUGGGCGUAAAGGGCUCGUAGGCGGUUUGUUGCGUCGGGAGUGAAAACCAGGUGCUUAACACCUGGCCUGCUUUCGAUACGGGCAGACUAGAGGCAUUCAGGGGAGAACGGAAUUCCUGGUGUAGCGGUGAAAUGCGCAGAUAUCAGGAGGAACACCGGUGGCGAAGGCGGUUCUCUGGGAAUGUUCUGACGCUGAGGAGCGAAAGCAUGGGGAGCGAACAGGAUUAGA
rnacentral:rRNA from 1 species